rnacentral:lncRNA from 10 species
CCACCACAAAGAACAAGAAGUCUGUUUCAUAUGCAAAUAGCAAACCAUGUCCAUAAAUUACUUGUGCUCACACAGUUGCACAUACACUUCAGCCAAGGUAAUUUAUCCUAUGUGGCUAAACAUCUUGAUCAUCUUAACUGUGAAGAUGUAAUGGGAAAACACUGCCAAAUGCUUUGAGAGAUCUCUCAUGUAUGGUUUCUCCCAUCGAGUUGAAUAAAAGGCAGGACACUUAAGGUUGGUCUUGUUGAAUCUAGAAUUUAGUCCUUGGAAUUCACAGUCCAGCAACUCAAAUCCUAAAAGGUCAUCCAAGGAUAAUCAGGAAAUUGGGAACUCAUCCUGGUAACAUCCUGCUAGUCAACCUCUGUGGAGCCUGACUUGGAAGGCAGGGUGCUGACAUGGUUUCAGAACAUGGAGAUUCACUUGGUCCAUAUCCAAUGCUAGGGCACGGACGGCCUCCAUAUGUCAGGUUAACAGACAACAUUUAGACCUCAAUAUUAUUUGGUAAGUAAAUAACUAGAACACAGGAAGUUUAAGUUUGUUUGCAGGAUUUUUUUUUUCUUUUUUGAGACCUGCAGGUCUCACUCUGUCACACAGGCUGGAGUGCAGUUGCGUGACCACCACUCACCACAGCCUCAACCUCCCAGGCUCAGAAACAGGUUUGGCCACAUUGCCCAGGCUGGUCUCAAACUCCUGGCCUCAAGCAAUUGCCCACCUCGGCCUCCCAAAGUGCUGGGAUUAUACGCAUGAGCCACCAGGCCAGGCCCUGCAGGAUAUUUGUUGAAGUCAACCUCUGGUUGUUGGCAUAACCAUGACUCCCUUGAGGCUUCACAGCAAACCGGGAAGCCUUCCAGUCUGUGUGGCUGAAUUUCAACCCCUCGGGCAAGAAAUCUUCACUGUCACCUUCUGGGAAGAUCCAGAAAACACCAGCACUGCAACUUGCAGGAAGGAUGUUAGUAGAUUGGAAGAAAAUCCCAGAAGAGUCAGACCCUACAUGUGAAGAAGUUUUAGAAGUUUCUUAACUAAUUCAUUGCACUUAUCUUUGUAUGGAUGCAUGGGGGUGAUGUUUAAAAGAGCUUCAAUUAAAAUAAAAUUGAAAUUCUAAGAAAGCAAUGAAGCCUAGUUUAAUGGACAGGUGUUUUUCCUUCUUGGUGGUUAAUGACACAGUAAUGUGUUUCAUCUGAUAAUGGAUUAGGUCAGAUGAAUACAGUUUUGUGAGUUCUAAUGAUCAAAGGAAACUUUUGGAGAAGGGAGAAUUUAAGGCAAGCCCUAUAGAAGAAUAAGAUUCAAAUUAGUAGAUAGGAAAACUAGAGUGUAACAUAUGUGAAAAAUUAUCUUGGAGACUGGAAUUCAACAGAGCCCGUCUUGUGCUGCAAUUUUAAGUAAAAAUGAUUGAUUAAUCUCUGAAAGGUAUGUUGAGGCUGAAUGGUGGGCGUCAAUCUAAGGUAGUGGGCCUUGCAGGCAAUUAAGGAGUCACUGAAUUAAUGAAAGUCUUGUUUAGGAAGGUUAUGCUGGUAUUAUAGCUGCACGCCGGUAAGGAUGAAGUAGAGAGAGACUGAAGGCAGUCUCCUGGGCAUGAAGAAAUAAAGAAUUCAAUAGAGGGAGGUGGAAACUGUGGUCACCCAAACAACCUAAAAAUGAAUAAACUCGCAAGCUGAAUAAAAGGGGCAAGUCUCCUUGUCUCUGUCCAAUAUAUUGCUGCCCCUAAGCUACUCCUCUAGAGAAAUCCUGGUUGAGGAAGGAAUGAGAAAGAACAGAUAGAACACACCAGAAAGAAAAAAAACACACACAAAUAACAAUGGAACUUGACAACCGGUAACAGAGAAAAGGACACCAUUGUCAGAGAGGAUUCCAUGUUUCCCAGCUUGGGUAAA